rnacentral:rRNA from 1 species
GACCUACGGGGGGCUGCAGUGGGGAAUCUUGGACAAUGGGCGCAAGCCUGAUCCAGCCAUGCCGCGUGAGUGACGAAGGCCUUAGGGUUGUAAAGCUCUUUUGGCGGGGACGAUAAUGACGGUACCCGCAGAAUAAGCCCCGGCUAACUUCGUGCCAGCAGCCGCGGUAAUACGAAGGGGGCUAGCGUUGUUCGGAAUUACUGGGCGUAAAGCGCACGUAGGCGGAUUUGUAAGUCAGGGGUGAAAUCCCGGGGCUCAACCUCGGAACUGCCUUUGAUACUGCAAAUCUAGAGUCCGAUAGAGGUGAGUGGAAUUCCUAGUGUAGAGGUGAAAUUCGUAGAUAUUAGGAAGAACACCAGUGGCGAAGGCGGCUCACUGGAUCGGUACUGACGCUGAGGUGCGAAAGCGUGGGGAGCAAACAGGAUUAGAUACCCGAGUAGUC